GCCUGGAAAGAAAGAAGAAAGGCCAGGGUGAGGCUGGCUCAGCUGUGGUUUUCAGAAGACAGAGCUCUGGGCACAUCCACCAUGGCCUGGACCCCUCUUUCACUCCUUGUCCUCACUCUCUGCACAGGCUCCGUGGUCUCCAGUGAGCUGUCUCAGCCACCCUUUGUGUCAGUGGCCCUGGGAAAGACAGCUACAAUCACCUGCACUGGAGAAGAACUGGAUUAUGGUUAUGUACAAUGGUACCAACAGAAGCCAGGGCAAGCCCCUUUGACGGUCAUUUAUGGGGAUAGUGAAAGGCCCUCUGGGAUCCCAGAGCGAUUCUCUGGCUCCAAGUCAGGGAACACGGCCACCCUCACCAUCAGCAGCACACAGGCCGAGGACGAGGCUGACUAUUUCUGUCAGUUCUAUGACAGCAGUGCUGAUGCUCACAGUGACACAAGCACAUGGGGAAGUGAGACACAAACUCCUUCCCCAUCUGUGUCACCCUCUCCUCCAGCCCCAGGAGGCCUGUGCACAGAGCAGUGA